CUGCUUCUUGAUGUCACAUUUUUGGUUAUUGAUUGAGUUAAUUUGUUUUUGCUUUUUGUUUUUCUAGUUCUUCUGAAUGAUUUUUAAAUACAGCAAGGCCCCAGGAAUGGCCAGUCUGAGGAUUGUCCUGAGGAAGCUCUUAUUAUCAGGGCCUGUGCCACCAUGUAAGAAAUCCAGCUGUUCUGACGCCACCAUGCUCUGAGGAGCCCAGGCUACAUGGAGAGGCACGUGCCGGUGCUCCCGGUGACAGGUCCAGUUGAUAAGCCUUCAAGCCAUCCCAGCCCAGGCUUCCAUCAUAGGAGUGAAGAUGCUUCCUGAUGACUUCAGCCAAGGCACCAAGUCAGCCUCAGCCAUUUGAGUCUUCCUAGCUUGGUCCUCAACAUCAGGGAACAAGCACUAGCCAUCUCUGCUGGGUCCUGUGUAAAUUCCUGACCUGCAGAAUCUGUGUGUGUAAUAAGUUUAUGCCAUUGAGUCUUGGGAUGGUUUGUUAUGCAAUAGUAACUGGGACAUCACUAAUCCAG